GAUGAACGCUGGCGGCGUGCCUAAUACAUGCAAGUCGAGCGAACGGACGAGAAGCUUGCUUCUCUGAUGUUAGCGGCGGACGGGUGAGUAACACGUGGAUAACCUACCUAUAAGACUGGGAUAACUUCGGGAAACCGGAGCUAAUACCGGAUAAUAUUUUGAACCGCAUGGUUCAAAAGUGAAAGACGGUCUUGCUGUCACUUAUAGAUGGAUCCGCGCUGCAUUAGCUAGUUGGUAAGGUAACGGCUUACCAAGGCAACGAUGCAUAGCCGACCUGAGAGGGUGAUCGGCCACACUGGAACUGAGACACGGUCCAGACUCCUACGAGAGGCAGCAGUAGGGAAUCUUCCGCAAUGGGCGAAAGCCUGACGGAGCAACGCCGCGUGAGUGAUGAAGGUCUUCGGAUCGUAAAACUCUGUUAUUAGGGAAGAACAUAUGUGUAAGUAACUGUGCACAUCUUGACGGUACCUGAUCAGAAAGCCACGGCUAACUACGUG
rnacentral:rRNA from 1 species